UACAAAGAAGUCCUGUCGGUGCCCUGCGCACACCACCGUCGGCCGCCGAUCCCGAGCUCCGCCGCCGCCGAAGCGCCGCCAGAGAGGGGAAAAGCGGAGAUUACCAAACACCCAGCUCCGGGAAGCCCCAUCGCAGCAUCUGUGCUUUAAGAGCCUCAAUAGUGGCCCGCCAGCGGCGGGACCUUGCCGUUGGAGCAUGUCGGCCGGGGGACGCCCCCAGGCUUCACGGAGCCCGUCUCCAGUGCCCUCCAUCGAUGCAGUCGAGGAAGCGCAGAAGAGCCGCCUGCCUCUAUCCAUCGAACCCUGCUCGAGGCCAUCCGUCCAUCCGCAAAGGCCGCCGUCGCCGUCCUCGAAGAAGACGACACCGAACAGCCGACUCCUAUACAAACCUCCAGAACUCCCGGCCGACGCAGGAGCACGCGCCGCCGUGAUGGAGACGAGUCCCGAGGACAAAAUCCUCCAGCCUGGUCGCCGCAUCCACCUCGCCAACCAGACCCAGGAAAACCUACCUCCACAAGCUCUCCGGCGCCGCCCUACAGAGCACCGCCAAGGUGGGGAAAGAGCUGUAGCUACCUUAUUUCCCCAAGACGCCACCUCCACCACCACGACGGCGUCCCUGGGAAGACUACUCCUACACCUAUCUCCGGCGGUUUUGUUUGGGAGCUAGCCCACUACGCAGCCGUACCUGAACUUUUUUUAUUGCCUUUUUCUAAUCGAGAGCGUCCAGCGACGAGCGGUUUGGAUAUUGGAGUUGAGGCGCGGCGGCGACCGGUUUCGCGUCUGGCGGCGGCGGCGGCGCAGCGUCCGGCUGAAUCGGGAGCCAGGCGAGUAGGGGGUUGGUUCUGCGCUCUCGCUGGAGUCGGCGACGCCGUGGCCGGCCCGGCCGGCCGAAUCGGCGGCAUGGUGAGCAAGCGGGUCGUAGCUGCGGGCGGCAUCGGCAUCGCCCCCAUCUUCUCCUUUCUCUACCACAAGUGCUGUGCUGCUUUCCGCCGGUCAUGCUGCGGCAGCCCGGCGAGCGGCGUCUCACAAACUCGUGAGGAUUAUUCAAGCAUUGGUUUCUAGUGAUGUUUCAGAUUAUUUUUACCUCCUAAUGAGGCAUCAAGGGAGGUUAGCAACCAAUCCAACAUUUUUCACUUACCUAUGGACCAUUUUUUUUGAGGUCUUAGGGGGUGGGGCAGGGAGGAGAUACCUCAUAGCUUGUUGCAUUCACUCGAAGCUGACUCGGAACAUUAAUAAGUUCAGAUUACAAAUGCCCAUAGACAGCUAGCAAGGGAGAUAGGGUAAUGCCACACUAACCUAGGCAGGAGAGCAGAAAAGAGCGGUAAUAGAGCAGACCUGUUUUUAUCAGCCAUUGCAUUAUUUUUUACACGAAGUGCAAUUAAACCACCAGGGAUCCGAAUGACCCAGCUAGCCCCCCUUGUCGGCUCCAUCACAUCUGCUCGAUGUGGUUUAGUGUACUAACCGUACUCGCAUCACUGGCCGGCCAACAUAAUUUCCUUUCGCUUAUUUUACGUUGCUUGACCCAGCUAGUCGCCCUUGUCAGCUCCAUCGCACCUGCUCGGUGUGGUUUAGGUACUAAUCGUACUCGCAUCACUGGCCGACGUAAUAUCAUUUCGCUUCUUUUACGUUGCUUGGGACAGUUAAUUUCUUUCUCGCUGUGGGGGGCUGGGUUUGGGAACUACCGACUCGGCAUUUUUCUGUUCUAAUUGGGAUCGGUAGCCGCAUGCGGUUUUGAAGGCGGGCGUCGAGAGCUUUCAACGGCGAGGGCGUAGGCGCGCGACAGCUGUAGUUGGCCUUGUCGGCCGACGGUAGCAUCGCAUCGAGGCAGGCGGUGCUGCGGGACCUUUCGACAGCCGUCGGUGGCUCGUCGGCUGACGGCAACAUCAAGGAAAGUGGUGCUGCGAGAGGCGUCACGGUGUGGUGGGUGGCUGGCACAGCAGCGACCGGUGCGAGAAGCUUCACCACAUGGUGGGCCCGGACUGCGACGAGUGGGACAGCCAGUAAUGUUCAAAAUAUUAAGAGGAACUGGGAUGUGUCCUUCUCCUGGGGUACACAUUGAAAUGUAGAGCUGCACCGCAUGUUCUGGUCUUCAGCGCCUAGACACCUAGUAGGAUGGAAAUACAACAUCAAAGCAUAGUGUACUGGAGUUGUUGAUGUAACUAGAUAAUUUGCACUGACUGUAAUUUAUUACGUUCACAUAUUUCAUUUAUUUUCGAUAUGCACUUUAUUCUA